rnacentral:misc_RNA from 1 species
UCUCCGUAGGUGAACCUGCGGAGGGAUCACUACAGGCUUGCAAAAGCUCUGAAACCACUGUUUAUCUACCUAAAUCUGCUUCGGCGGGCGGCCCCAGGGCGGUGCCGUAGCCGCAAGGCGCCUGUCGAAGACCCCUAAAAUCUGUCGUCUUGAGAAUCUCUGAGUAAUUAAAUUAAACAAAAACAACUUUCAACAACGGAUCUCUUGGCUCUG